rnacentral:rRNA from 1 species
UACGUAGGUGGCAAGCGUUGUCCGGAUUUACUGGGCGUAAAGAGCGCGCAGGCGGUCGUGCAAGUCGCGUGUGAAAGCCCCCGGCUCAACUGGGGAGGGUCACGCGAUACUGCUCGACUCGAAGGCAGGUGAGGGAAGUGGAAUUCCCGGUGUAGUGGUGAAAUGCGUAGAUAUCGGGAGGAACACCUGUGGCGAAAGCGGCUCACUGGACCACAACUGACGCUGAGGCGCGAAAGCUAGGGGAGCAAACAGG